rnacentral:lncRNA from 1 species
AGCCAGCCAGUGGCGUUCCUGGCUCCUCGGGAUUUUCCUUUUCCUCCGAAGCUGCUGAUUCAUCCCCAGGCUGGAGUCAGGCUCAGCUGUGGGGCUGGGAGCAUGGGCUCUCAGGCUGCUGCUGAGUGGAGGAACUGGGCCUCCUGGGAGGUGUCCUCCAGCCUCUCUGGAUGCUCCAUGGGUGGGGGUCGGGAGUGGUGAGGGAAGGGUGGCGCAUCUCAGAGCCCUCGCAAAUUUCUGGCCAGAAAUGUGGGGGUAUGGGCGCAGCUUGGCCAAGGCCAUGCUGCAAGGGCCAGGGUGGCCGUCCUUCCUCACUCCUGUCUGGCCUCCCUCUGCAGGGUGCUUCAAGGAUGACCGCAUCGUCUUCUGGACUUGGAUGUUCUCCACCUACUUCAUGGAGAAAUGGGCUCCCCGGCAGGACGACAUGCUUUUCUAUGUGCGCCGGAAGCUGGCGUACUCCGGCAGCGAAAGCGGUGCAGACGGGAGGAAGAUGAGGAAACGGAGGGCUCGGAGAUGAAGUGAUUCGCCUAACGUAUUUCAUCCACUAAAUCGCAGUGUGGGAGGAGCUAAUAAAAUACAUUUUGCAUGC